rnacentral:rRNA from 1 species
GGAGUUUUCGUCAAUGGGGGAAACCCUGACCGAGCAACGCCGCGUGAGUGAUGACGGCCCUAUGGGUUGUAAAGCUCUUUUAUAAGGGACGAAUGGUGGAGUUAGGAAAUGAACUCCAUUUGACGGUACCUUUUGAAUAAGCCACGGCUAACUACGUGCCAGCAGCCGCGGUAAUACGUAGGUGGCAAGCGUUAUCCGGAAUUAUUGGGCGUAAAGAGUGAGCAGGCGGCAGUUUAAGUCUGAGGUUAAAGCGUGGGGCUCAACCCCAUAAAGCCUUGGAAACUGAACAGCUAGAGUACGGGAGAAGUGAAGGGAACUCCAUGUGUAGCGGUGAAAUGCGUAGAUAUAUGGAAGAACACCAGUGGCGAAGGCGCUUCACUAGCCCGAAACUGACGCUCAGUCACGAAAGCGUGGGUAGCAAAUA